rnacentral:rRNA from 1 species
AGGGCACCACCAGGAGUGGAGCCUGCGGCUUAAUUUGACUCAACACGGGAAAACUCACCCGGCCCGGACACUGGAAGGAUUGACAGAUUGAGAGCUCUUUCUUGAUUCAGUGGGUGGUGGUGCAUGGCCGUUUCUUAGUUGGGUGGAGCGAUUUUGUCUGGGUUAAUUCCGAAUAACGAACGAGAACUCUAGCCUUUUUAAAUAGACUGGGGGGGUCCGUAAGGCCCCCCCCCAGGACUUUCCUAAAAGGGAACAGGGGGGCGAAGUAAACCCGCCCCGAGAAGAGAAGCCAAUAACCCGGGCCUGGGGAUGGCCCCUUAAAAUGUCCGGGGGCCCCCACGCCGCGCUUAAACCCGAAAGGGAAACCACGGGGGCUUUUUUUUUCCCCCCCCCCUGGGGGGGGAGGGGAGAAAACCCCAAGGAAAACCUUUUUUUUUUGAAAAGGGGAUUUGGGGGUUUUGAAAAUUUUUUCCCCCCGAAAAAGGGGAAAAUUCCCCCAUAAAAGCCCGGGAUCAUUAG